GGUGAACGCUGGCGGCGUGCCUAACACAUGCAAGUCGAGCGAAGCGCCUUACUUGAUUUCUUCGGGAUGAAAGUAUUGUGACUGAGCGGCGGACGGGUGAGGUAACGCGUGGAUAACCUGCCUCAUGCAGGGGGAUAACAGUUAGAAAUGACUGCUAAUACCGCAUAAGACCACAGCACCGCAUGGUGCAGGGGUAAAAACUCCGGUGGUAUGAGAUGGAUCCGCGUCUGAUUAGCUAGUUGGUAAGGUAGCGGCUUACCAAGGCAAUGAUGGGUAGCCGGCCUGAGAGGGUGAACGGCCACAAGGGGACUGAGACACGGCCCUU
rnacentral:rRNA from 1 species